UACGUAGGGGGCAAGCGUUGUCCGGAAUUAUUGGGCGUAAAGCGCGUGUAGGCGGCUUGGUAAGUCUGGUGUGAAAACUUAGGGCUCAACCCUAAGCGUGCACUGGAUACUGCCUCGCUAGAGUCCGGGAGGGGAGGGCGGAAUUCCUAGUGUAGCGGUGAAAUGCGCAGAUAUUAGGAAGAACACCGGUGGCGAAGGCGGCCCUCUGGAACGGUACUGACGCUGAGACGCGAAAGCGUGGGGAGCGAACAGG
rnacentral:rRNA from 1 species